GCAUAUCAAUAAGCGGAGGAAAAGAAACCAACAGGGAUUGCCCUUAGUAACGGCGAAGUGAAGCGGCAACAGCUCCAAAUUUGAAAUCUGGCUCUUUCAGGGUCCGAGUUGUAAUUUGCAGAGGGCGCUUUGGCUUUGGCAGCGGUCCAAGUUCCUUGGAACAGGACGUCACAGAGGGUGAGAAUCCCGUACGUGGUCGCUAGCUAUUGCCGUGUAAAGCCCCUUCGACGAGUCGAGUUGUUUGGGAAUGCAGCUCUAAAUGGGAGGUAAAUUUCUUCUAAAGCUAAAUACUGGCCAGAGACCGAUAGCGCACAAGUAGAGUGAUCGAAAGAUGAAAAGCACUUUGGAAAGAGAGUCAAACAGCACGUGAAAUUGUUGAAAGGGAAGCGCUUGCAGCCAGACUUGCUUGCAGUUGCUCAUCCGGGCUUUUGCCCGGUGCACUCUUCUGCAGGCAGGCCAGCAUCAGUUUGGGCGGUGGGAUAAAGGUCUCUGUCACGUACCUCUCUUCGGGGAGGCCUUAUAGGGGAGACGACAUACCACCAGCCUGGACUGAGGUCCGCGCAUUCGCUAGGAUGCUGGCGUAAUGGCUGUAAGCGGCCCGUCUUGAAACACGGACCAAGGAGUCUAACAUCUAUGCGAGUGUUUGGGUGUCAAGCCCGAACGCGUAAUGAAAGUGAACGGAGGUGGGAACCCGCAAGGGUGCACCAUCGACCGAUCCUGAUGUCUUCGGAAGGAUUUGAGUAAGAGCAUGGCUGUUGGGACCCGAAAGAUGGUGAACUAUGCUUGAAUAGGGUGAAGCCAGAGGAAACUCUGGUGGAGGCUCGCAGCGGUUCUGACGUGCAAAUCGAUCGUCAAAUUUGGGCAUAGGGGGCGAAAGACUAAUCGAACUAUCUAGUAGCUGGGUUCCUGCCGA
rnacentral:rRNA from 1 species